rnacentral:lncRNA from 10 species
GAAAAGUCUCAAGUAGUCGGCAUAUCUGUUUUUGGCUCUAACUCUCUGCCAUCCCUGUGGAACUUUUAGCCUACACACUGCAGUUGUUUUGAGAAAACAAAGGCAUCAUUCUCUUCUCAAGGUUAUGGUAGUGAUUUAAGGCCAACAGACCCAAGACUCAUCUUGUAAUGCAUAGCCAAACAGUCAUAGUUCAUAAGCAGUCACGUGACUGGUGACAUUUUAAAUCUCCAGUCUUUGACUUUGUCAUUGGUUGACUUUUGUCUUCAGGAAAUAUUCUACAUUUCUUGGAAUACAAUAAAAAUGCCCAAGUCAAUUUGGUUGUUGUCAAAUUAUUCAGCUUUUUCUUACCACUUACUAGUACUCCACCUCUUUGCUCUAGCAUCCAGCCAACUAGACUACAUAGAAUUUCACAGUGAUCUUCCUCAGCUCCAGCUCUUGGCAUUUGCUCCUCCCUUCUAUCUGACAUAUGUUUUUGUUGUCCUUCUGGUAUCAACCUGCAUAUCUCAUCCACCAAAAAGUCUACAAUAUUGACCCAAAACCUGGAUGUCCUAUCUGUGUGUUCCAGUAGUGCCCUAUUUUAAAUGUGUCAUGAUAUCUAUUACUUUGUGUGAAAAUUACCUGUUUGUUUUUUCAGGUUAUAUAAUAGUAUAACACUGCCAAGGAGCGGAUUAUCUCAUCUUCAUCCUGUAAUUCCAGUGUUUGUCACGUGGUUGUUGAAUAAAUGAAUAAAGAAUGAGAAAACCAGAAGCUCUGAUACAUAAUCAUAAUGAUAAUUAUUUCAAUGCACAACUACGGGUGGUGCUGAACUAGAAUCUAUAUUUUCUGAAACUGGCUCCUCUAGGAUCUACUAAUGAUUUAAAUCUAAAAGAUGAAGUUAGUAAAGCAUCAGAAAAAAAAGUGGGUAUUCCUACAAGUCAGGACAUUCUACGUGACUACAAUAUAAUCUCACAGAAAUUUAACAUUAAUACAUUCUAAGAUUUAAUUCUUAGAUUCUUGGUAA